AGCACGCCGCGUGAGUGAUGAAGGCUUUCGGGUCGUAAAACUCUGUUUGUUAGGGAAGAACAAGUGCUAGUUGAAUAAGCUGGCACCUUGACGGUACCUAACCAGAAAGCCACGGCUAACUACGUGCCAGCAGCCGCGGUAAUACGUAGGUGGCAAGCGUUAUCCGGAAUUAUUGGGCGUAAAGCGCGCGCAGGUGGUUUCUUAAGUCUGAUGUGAAAGCCCACGGCUCAACCGUGGAGGGUCAUUGGAAACUGGGAGACUUGAGUGCAGAAGAGGAAAGUGGAAUUCCAUGUGUAGCGGUGAAAUGCGUAGAGAUAUGGAGGAACACCAGUGGCGAAGGCGACUUUCUGGUCUGUAACUGACACUGAGGCGCGAAAGCGUGGGGAGCAAACAGGAUUAGAUACCCUGGUAGUCCACGCCGUAAACGAUGAGUGCUAAGUGUUAGAGGGUUUCCGCCCUUUAUGCUGAAGUUAACGCAUUAAGCACUCCGCCUGGGGAGUACGGCCGCAGGCUGAAACUCAUAGGAAUUGACGGGGGCCCGCACAAGCGGUGGAGCAUGUGGUUUAAUUCUAACAACGCGAAGAACCUUACCAGGUCUUGACGUCCUCUGAAAACCCUAGAGAUAGGGCUUCUCCUUCGGAGUCAGAGUGACAUGCGGUGCAUGUUGUCUCCUCUCGUGUCGUGAGAUGUUGGGUUAAGUCCGUCACAAGCGCAACCCUUGCUCUUAUUUUCCAUCGUUA
rnacentral:rRNA from 1 species